GGUGAACGCUGGCGGCGUGCUUAAGACAUGCAAGUCGAACGGGCUCUUCGGAGCCAGUGGCGCACGGGUGAGUAACGCGUAACUGACCUACCCUAAAGUCGCGGAUAACGAUUUGAAAGUAACGUCAAUAAGCGAUGUGCUGUCAGAUCCUGUUCUGCCAGUAAAGUUUUAUUGCUUUGGGAUGGGGUUGCGUUCCAUCAGCUAGCUGGUGGGGUAAAGGUGUACUAAGGCGACGACGGAUCGCCGGCCUGAGCGGGUGGCCGGCCACAGGGGCACUGAGGCACGAGUCCCACUCCUACGUGAGGCAGGAGUCAGGAGUCGGCCACAAUGGGCGAAAGCCUGAUGGAGCAACGCCGCGUGCGGGGUGAGGGACUUCGGAUCGUAGGCCUCAGAAUCAGGUACGAAAGACGCGAGAGCGAGAUGACGUAACCUGAGUAAUAGCACCGGCUAACUCCGUG
rnacentral:rRNA from 1 species